GUCCACGCCGUAAACGAUGUCUACUAGCCGUUGGAGUCCUUGAGGCUUUAGUGGCGCAGCUAACGCACUAAGUAGACCGCCUGGGAGUACGGUCGCAAGAUUAAAACUCAAAUGAAUUGACGGGGCCCGCACAAGCGGUGGAGCAUGUGGUUUAAUUCGACGCAACGCGAAGAACCUUACCAGGUCUUGACAUCUAGAGAACUUGCCAGAGAUGGCUUGGUGCCUUCGGGAACUCUAAGACAGGUGCUGCAUGGCUGUCGU
rnacentral:rRNA from 1 species